AAAAAGAUAACUAAAUAAACAAUUACUAUAGUUAAUUAAAUAGAUGGACAGAACAGAAUAAAUAAAAAUAGAUAACAGAUAAUUAAUUUCUUCACUUCUUGGUUAAAAUAGCUUUUAUGGGCUAUAUCCUGUGUCUAAGCUUUAUAGAAAGUUUAUUAUGGAGCCACAAAAUACUUGGAAGUGAUUCCAUAUAUCAUUGUCUGCUGUAACUAAUGUAAUCAUAUUCUUGGUGCUUAAAAUUUCACCAGCAUGGUUUUCACAGACUAUAUGUUGGGAAGCCCAUCUUGGACAUUUAAACAAUACCUGUUCAGCAUCAUCGAGCUCUUCAGUGCAAUCGCAGCAUUGGUUAUUGCUUUCUUUAUUUAUUCUGAUUCUAUAUGUGUUAAAGAUACCAUGUCUGGUAAGUAUUUGCAUUGUAUAAUGGUUAAUAAGUUUUUUAUGCUUUAUAAAGAUGACUACGUUGUUUAUCAAUUUUCUUGUCCAAUUUCUUUUAUAUUCCUUUCUCCAAUCCUCAAUUGUUGUUUCUUCCAACUGUUCUAUCUCUCCCUUGAGUGAGUUUUGCACCCUAUCGGUUAUAUUUUCUGCCGUGUUUAAUAUGUGCCUUUUUUCACCUCAUAUAUCUUUUUUUUUGCAGCUGUGCUUUAAUGUGUAUUGGCAUGUUCCCUGGCAACAUGCAUAGAGCUGCAUAAGAGACAGCUCUAUAAGCUGUUGACAUCCUCAUUAUGGCCAAUCUUUGUACUGUUUUUAAUAUUUUUUUUAUUUUUAGUCAUUUUCGGAGCCUCAGCUCAUACAGGAGAGGCAUAUAGUACCAUCGAUUCCCAGAACAAUUUUCUAACUAGAAAUCUGCAAAUUUUUUAACCUAUAUGAUGGGACCAACUGUGCUCCUGCCUCUGCGGAAACCAUACUGGCUUUUGUGAUAUGGCUCCUGCCCUAGAUAUUUCUCAGUGGAGGAUUUCGAAGUAUUCCCCCAUGUCUUGCUCAUCGCAGGUAGUAUACUUAUGAGCCAAUAGGAAGAAGGAAGGAGGGGAUUAUUUCCUGGUUUUGCAAUAUUACUCUGGCAUUUUUCCAUUUUUUAAGUAUUUUAUUUAUUUUGUAUAUAGUAUUAAUCAUGCUUAGUAUGUUGUGAGCUUUAUGCUUAAAUAAUAAUUUAAAUAUUGUUCCAGAGACCCCACCCACGCCAGCUGCCCGUUUAAAAUUUAAUCGUCCAAUGGCAUUCGCUAACUCCUCCAUUUGGACGGUGAUACAUACAUCGUCGCUUGUUACUUCCUCGUAACUACCAUCCCGCCUCUCUUCUUCGGCAGUUAUGUUUGUUUUUGUGGUGAAAAGUGUAUCUAUAAUGCUAUUAAUUUUAUUUGAGUUUAUGUUA